GGGGGAGAAAAAUGUAAAAGUUGGGGGAAAAAACCCAACAACAACUAACCUAAUCGAUUAGAUGAAAAAAAAAAUUGAGGACGUCUUUGUUUUGGUUAAUAUAUUGGGAAAAUUAGUAUUCGUGAUAGUUCUGUAUUACUGAUAUUUAGCUUGCUUAAUUCUCUCUGUUACACUUGAAUGCACCUAAUCUAGCUUUAAUGUUCUCUAGAUUUUGUUGUAAAGGUUCUUUUCUCAUCUUUGAAACCCAAUCACUUUUUUUGUUUUGCUUUUUUUAAUGCAUAUUCAGGGGAAAAAGAAUUCUCAAUCUAAUAAGUUCAAUACUUAGAGCGUGUGUUUCUGCUAUUCGAGUUUGUAGAUUGUUAUUUGCAUUGUGUUUCAGAGCAUUUUGUAGUUUAGGUUUCUCCUUUGCAACCCUGAACUAAACCUAACUAAAAAAGAGAGUGUGCAACUGCUGAGCUCCUCUCUCUUAGACCUCUGGAUUCUCUCCUUCACCCUCUCACCCUCGGCCUCAGUUCCUCUCUGCCUCAGUCAGACAGUGAGUCACCACUAACCUCACCCAUACUCCAGUCACCACCACCAUUCUCCAUCCCAUCUCUGAUCUCUCCCUCUCAAUUGUGAUCCCUCCCUCCCUCUCAAUAUUGAUGACCACCGCCUCUUGGCCACGUCGCGCCUGCCCAUGUCAGCCACCACGCGCCAGCCUUUCUCUGGUGUCUGCCUCCUCAACCCAAGUCGCAGAUGAGUUCUCUCAGUCGCAACCUCCACAAUCUUCACAAUAUCGACAAGGCAGCCUCCACCCUCUUGCUCAUUCUUGCACAGCCAAUCAGCCAGCCUUCCCUUUCACUAAGUCAGUCUGUAUUCAAUUCCAAGAGCUGGGUUUACACUUUUGAAAAUUAGAAACUAAGUUUUCUCCCAUCUCAAAUUCCUGCAAAUUAAAAUUGAAAUCCUGCUCCAGCCUUUGUUUCUUUGAAUUUCUUUUUAAAAUUUUCAUGUGCAAGUAUGUUUUCGCCACUUUUUUGAAAAUAUCUUCUUCAUAGUUAGCUUUUCCAUCUUCUCAAUUCUGGAAAUUAAAUAGGACUCUCUUUCAAUAAAGGCCAUGUGAUUAAAAAAAAAGGAGGCCAUGUGAUCAUUGUCCGUAAAUCCUUUGUUGUGCCAUUGAUGAAUAAUAUAUUGAUAUUGAUGUUGAUAUUGAUAUUGAUUAAACAAAUAUAUUGAUAUUCCCUUUAUAUAUUGAUAUUCCAUCUCCAAUGAUUAAAAAAUAUUGAAGGGAAAAGGAAAAAGAUUUUUCUAUUUUAUUGGUGGUGAGUGAUCUAGUGCUUGAAUUUUGAACUUACAGGUUGUGUUAUACAUGAAACUAAUGUUGGUGCCUUUUACAAGUUAAGUUGGGUUGCUCUGAAAAGUAUGUACCCUUCUUCUUAUAUGGGUAUGCCAUGCUCUGUUUUUGCUCAGAAGUCAGAACUGAUAAAUCGAACUGAACUGAACCUGUUCAAUUCGGUGCGGUUAGGUCACCCUAUUCAGUUUGGUUCAUUCUCCCGUUAAUUUUGGUUUAUCUGGUUUUUCUCUGAACUGAAUCAAAUUGAGUGAUUCUUACCCCUAAUACUGAAUUGGCAUAAGGAUGUUGCAUGGUUUUUCUUUCUAAGUAUUUCUACUUUCUUUGUUUCUUAGUCUUCCUCAGAGUCUAGUUUCACCAGUUACUGUAACUUGUUGCUAUCUGAGAACUUUUCCCAAUGGUUUGUUCUUUGCAGAGAAAUGUGGUUUCAAAUAAUGAAAAGAACAAAAUCAGGCUUGUUUUGGACUUUGAAAAAUGACAACGAUGAAUUUAAGCUUUAUAUUAUUUAUUAGAAACUAUAGUGAUGGAAAUUCUGUUCUUUUGAAACAGGCUGCAUUGAAAUAAUGGCUUAUAUUCAAUAUGGUAGAAAUGCCUUACGGCGUAUUAUGAAAGAAAGUAACCUUAGGAGGUCUGAUGGUGCUAUACAUCCACUUCUCUAUGCUUGCCAAGGGGCUCGAUUCAGAAAGUUAGAAGUUAUUCUUACAACGGUAUGUUUUGUUAGAUUGAUUUGAACCUGUGAAUCAUUCUAUUUUUAUUUAACUGGAGAAUCAGCUCAAGUUUACUAGUUUUCUCUCUCUUGUUGGAUUGUCUGUCAGUCUGUUUAGUUCCUAGAAAGUGCAGUACUGAUGGCUGCUGUUGGAAGAGAUAUCGUCAUCUUGGCUUGAGAAGAGAUAAUUGGUGACAUGGGACAGAGUUACAUAGCGAAAAGAGAGAAUACUUUAGUAAGAGAGUAUGAAGACAGAAGAGGGAAUCACAUACUUGGCCAAUGUGCCUUUUGGAACACUUAUGAUGAAGUCAUUUUGUUAAUCAGAGCUUAACAAAGUAGCUAUGCUAUAUCUAUUCCACAUUUCUUAUUAGAUAUGAUUUCUUUCCGUCUCUCAUUCUUCUCUACCAAAUAUAGCACAAAGAAAAGAUAGGAGAGUUACCACGAAUGUUUUUCUUUUGACGCUUUUAUGCUUUUAUAAUUUAACUGGGUAUAGGGGUGGCAUUGAUAUUGAUUUUGUGAAAGUGUCUACUUUUUUGGAUGGAAGGUUUCCACCUAGAUAUGCACAUGAUGAUGAUUUAAAACGAUACUAUUUACCAGAUAAUAUUCGGGAAAGCCUUGCUCAUAUCCACUUAUGUAAAAGACAUUGUAUAGCUACAAUGUUAUUUUAGUUGAAAACAUUUAUGUAAUGGUAUAAUAAUCUAUUGAUAUUGAUUUCGAACUCUUGCAGAACGUAGAAAAGCUUGGAAAAGCUGGUCAGACAGUGAAGGUUGCUCCUGGGCAUUUUCGC
rnacentral:misc_RNA from 1 species